rnacentral:sRNA from 1 species
AUUAACAUCUAUUAACAGUAAUUAACAUGAAUACCUAUGAACUUGGUCAGGUUUUUAAAUAAUAUAGCGAUGUAGAUUAGCAAACACUAAUCUCAUGACAUUUCUCCUUUCAACCGAAACUGUUUUAAACAGAUUCGUUGUUCAACGCAAUGAUCACCCCAAUCAUUGCGUUUUUUUUGCAUCUCAUAAUAUUA